AUGGAAUCCUCAAAUAUUUGGAAUCCUAAAAAAGAAUGAAACUUGUUUUUUGACUUCCAGAACAAGUCUAGGGUUCAUGACAAGCCUUACAGAGUUCCCAGGACUCAAAUGGAGUACAACAGCUAUAGAGUUGACAUGGGGAUAAUGUACCUCAUCAGAGAUGGAUAGAAAUAGAACACGCUGCUUUCCUGUAGCUCCCAAACAGCUCUGCAGACUAUGAAAAAAAAAAAAAAUUUGUGGCUCUGAGAAAGAAAUCAAAAGGGAACAAAGAGAUCUGGUGACAUGAAGAGGUUGGGUAGACUAAGGAAAAGGUAGUAACCUACAGGGACCUAAUAAAUGGAUCCCAGGCCAACGGAUGCAAAUAGCUCCAGCAAUUCUAGCUAAGGUAACUCAGCAGGUGCUUCUCUGAACUACUACCUGGGCUCUCUUUCAG
rnacentral:lncRNA from 1 species